CCUACGCGGCGCAGCAGUGGGGAAUAUUGGACAAUGGGCGAAAGCCUGAUCCAGCCAUGCCGCGUGUGUGAAGAAGGCCUUCGGGUUGUAAAGCACUUUCAGUGGGGAAGAAAGCCUUGGGGCUAAUACCCUCGAGGAAGGACAUCACCCACAGAAGAAGCACCGGCUAACUCCGUGCCAGCAGCCGCGGUAAUACGGAGGGUGCGAGCGUUAAUCGGAAUUACUGGGCGUAAAGCGCGCGUAGGCGGUCUGAUAAGCCGGUUGUGAAAGCCCCGGGCUCAACCUGGGAACGGCAUCCGGAACUGUCAGGCUAGAGUGCAGGAGAGGAAGGUAGAAUUCCCGGUGUAGCGGUGAAAGGCGUAGAGAUCGGGAGGAAUACCAGUGGCGAAGGCGGCCUUCUGGACUGACACUGACGCUGAGGUGCGAAAGCGUGGGUAGCAAACAGGAUUAGAUACCCUGGUAGUC
rnacentral:rRNA from 1 species